CUCUCCGUAGUUCAAUGGAUAGAACGGGGCCCUCCUAAGGCUCAAAUGCAGGUUCGAUUCCUGCCGGGGAGGCCA
rnacentral:tRNA from 1 species